GAUGAAGAACGUAGCAAGCUGCGAUACGUAAUGUGAAUUGCAGAAUUCAGUGAAUCAUCGAAUCUUUGAACGCAUAUUGCGCCUUUUGGGGUUCUUCUCCAGAGGGCACGCCUGUCCGAGCGUCAUUUCAACCCUCGAACCCCUCCGGGGGGUCGGCGUUGGGGAUCGGCCCUUUCACCGGGUGCCGGCCCCUAAAUACAGUGGCGGUCUCGCCGCAGCCUCUCAUGCGCAGUAGUUUGCACACUCGCACCGGGAGCGCGGCGCGUCCUCGUCCGUAAAACACCCCAAACUUCUGAAAUGUUGACCUCGGAUCAGGUAGGAAUACCCGCUGAACUUAAGCAUAUCAAUAAGCGGAGGA
rnacentral:misc_RNA from 1 species